rnacentral:rRNA from 1 species
AGCGAACGCUGGCGGCAGGCCUAACACAUGCAAGUCGAACGAACUCUUCGGAGUUAGUGGCGGACGGGUGAGUAACACGUGGGAACGUGCCUUUUGGUUCGGAAUAACUCAGGGAAACUUGUGCUAAUACCGAAUGUGCCCUUCGGGGGAAAGAUUUAUCGCCAUUAGAGCGGCCCGCGUCUGAUUAGCUAGUUGGUGAGGUAACGGCUCACCAAGGCGACGAUCAGUAGCUGGUCUGAGAGGAUGACCAGCCACACUGGGACUGAGACACGGCCCAGACUCCUACGGGAGGCAGCAGUGGGGAAUCUUGCGCACUGGGCGAAAGCCUGACGCAGCCAUGCCGCGUGAAUGAUGAAGGUCUUAGGAUUGUAAAAUUCUUUCACCGGGGACGAUGAUGACGGUACCCGGAGAAGAAGCCCCGGCUAACUUCGUG